AUGAAAGGCCAUUGUAUCUACGAGUCUAUCGGAGAGCCAGUUGGUACGUCGUUACGGAUUCAUAGCGAAGCCCUUUCUAAUUUCAGCCAUUGUCUCAGGAAAAGAAUAGCUCUUUCGGUCAAAGUCGAUAAGGAUAAAAGUCCAAUAGCUAGGGUGGGAUUGUCCUCUGUUCUCAACUCGGGAAGGAAAUCAAUAAGCAUGGAUUCACCUAUUCUAGAAAAAAAGAAAUAUGCUUUAGGUUUAGCUUUCGAAAAAGACAAGGCCUUACAACAGCUCAUUCCCGGAAGAAAAAGAAGAGGAUUCUAA